rnacentral:rRNA from 1 species
AGAGUUUGAUCAUGGCUCAGGAUGAACGCUGGCGGCGUGCCUAAUACAUGCAAGUCGAACGAGGUGCUUUUGUAGCAAUACGAGAGUAUCCUAGUGGCGAACGGGUGAGUAACGCGUUGGUGACCUACCCCCAAAGUGUGGGAUAACAGUCCGAAAGGAUUGCUAAUACCGCAUGUGGUCUUCGGGUUUAGAAACUGAUGACUAAAGGAGCAAUUCGCUUUGGGAGGGACCUGCGUCCCAUCAGCUAGUUGGUGAGGUAAUGGCUCACCAAGGCUACGACGGGUAGGGGACCUGAGAGGGUGACCCCCCACAAUGGAACUGAAACACGGUCCAUACACCUACGGGUGGCAGCAGUAGGGAAUAUUGCACAAUGGGCGAAAGCCUGAUGCAGCAACGCCGCGUGUGCGAUGAAGGCCUUCGGGUCGUAAAGCACUUUUCUGGGAGAUGAGCAAGGACAGUAUCUCAGGAAUAAGUCUCGGCUAACUACGUG